rnacentral:misc_RNA from 1 species
GAAAUGCGAUAAGUAGUGUGAAUUGCAGAAUUCAGUGAAUCAUCGAAUCUUUGAACGCACAUUGCGCCCCUUGGUAUUCCAUGGGGCAUGCCUGUUCGAGCGUCAUUUGUACCCUCAAGCCCGGCUUGUGUGAUGGGCCCUGGCGUCUCGUUCGCGAGACGGGCCCGAAAGGCAGCGGCGGCGUCGACCCGAUGAGCCCGAGCGUAUGGGGACUUUUGUCACACGUUUGCGGUGCGGACCGGCGCCUGCUUGACUUUUCUGAUUAUCCAGGUUGACCUCGGAUCAGGUAGGGAUACCCGCUGAACUUAAGC